UACGUAGGGGGCAAGCGUUGUCCGGAAUCAUUGGGCGUAAAGCGCGUGUAGGCGGCUGAGUAAGUCUGCUCUGAAAGCCCGGGGCUCAACCCCGGGAGGCGGGUGGAUACUGCUCAGCUCGAGUCCGGAAGAGGAGUGUGGAAUUCCCGGUGUAGCGGUGAAAUGCGCAGAUAUCGGGAAGAACACCCGUGGCGAAGGCGGCACUCUGGGACGGUACUGACGCUGAGACGCGAAAGCGUGGGGAGCGAACAGG
rnacentral:rRNA from 1 species